GCCUGCCUGCCUGCCUGCCUGCCUUCAACUCUGACUCUGAUCUCCAGCCCCGCAUUAGGGAGUAGUUGCAUGCCUGAGGUGCCGCCGGGAAGAGAGCUGUACCGAUGAGGCCGGUGAAGUGAUGUGUUGAGACAGGAGGGCCCAGUUGCAGAGGUGGGAGGAGUACUCCGGCCCACCUCUGUGGCUCUGACAGCGAGGAUAAACAUGGCACUGCCAGCGGCCCCUGGAGCAUCGCUAAAGCUUGUUAGCAUAGCCACCAGGCCUUGAGGAUGAUGAGUUCUGAAGAGGUGAUUAAGCCAAUGCUGAGGUCUCUUGUAGGCUUCAAAGCACAUGUACUCACAAGGUAGGAGAGGAAGGGCAUUUGAAGAUGGAACCACGGGAAAAGACUGGCGGGGCAGUUCGAGUUCAAUAUGGUCACUGUGCUCCUAGAUAGUCAUUCAUCAAAAGCUGAUAUUGCUGCCGGUGCAGGCAGGGCUUGGAACAGGCCGAGGUUGACCUCAGAGACAUCUCAUGACAAAACUUUUGAGAAAGAUUAGCUGAUUAAGGCACAUACAAUGCAAUCCCGGUGUCAUAAAGUGCUGGUCAGUGAAGAUUUUCCUUUGCGGUCAGUCUCAGGUUUAGAAAAACAAACUUAAAUGUGUGUGAACUUUGCUCUGGAUUUCUCAGCAAGAGUUUAACUAAAGUGUAUGCUACUCCAUCUCAGACUGAGCCCAGAGCGUGCUGCCAAAUACAAAGAUCCCAGAAAUGAGAGUGAGUGGCAUUUAAGCCUCCAUACCAGCGAGCCAUCUGUGCUGGGUGCCACAUAAUCGCAACAGGAUGCAGGCAUUGCUGUACAUCACAACAUCUUCCUGUCUUCUUGUCUACUGCAGCACAGUCACACACCCUGGAUUUUUUUCACAAGCAGUCUCCAACUAAGGCAUGUAGACAGGAGGAAGAGGCAUGCAAAUGGAGGGAGAGGAGCACUGAAACGUGGACAGAGAUGGAAGGUGCUUGUGUAGAUCCAUCUUGACUACAACUGAAACAAGAGACACAAGAGAACCCGAGCGUCACGUUAAAGGGAAACAUUUCAUGCAUCCGGCACGUCACCUAAAUCUGUAUAAUGUAAGGGGACAACAAAAGAUUUGAGAGAGCUGAAAUAAAAUAAGGUACAAGCCAACAAUUAAAUAUUUAUUUUUGGCAUACUGGCAGUUUUACAGCGAGGUGAGUCAGGAACACGCAGUUCACCCAUUUUAUACAUUUGAAAUAAGAGAGCAGGAGGGUGACGUGCAGUAAUGUGUGUGUGGGCCUCCAUAUUGUAUGUGUAUGUGGGUGUUUGCAGAGCUGGAAUAUGUUUAGAAAGUACCAGAUGCUACCAUUAGCAUUUUGAAAUAGGAGUCAGUAACAUAAUCAAACAUAUGGAAAUAACUAAACUCACAAGAAGAUGUUGUUAUGGGUAAUCAUAUGAUUUUAUUUAUUAACUUGUAAUCAGUUAUUUGUAUCUAAGUACAGAAAUAUAAGGCUGUUCUUCUUAGUCUUUAUUAACUAUAAAUACAACUAUUUUAGUGUCUGUAUUAUCCACAAUUAUUGUUUAACAGUGAACUGACAAAUAUAGCAUAGUUUUUUUUAUAAUACUCAAGACCCACUGUGUGUGUGUGUGUGUGUAAGCUGUUCCCACUAUUGUGUUUCAGUGGGCGUGAAGACGCAUGCAUCCUGGCAUGUGCAGUAUGUGUAAGAUGCAUGUAGGCGUGUGAAUCCAAAUUAUUGAGUAAUAAUAUGUAGUACAAGUACUAUAUGUGCACUGGCUUUCUACAAGCACAUAGUGCAUACAGCGCAAAAGGAAUAUGGAAGUAUUAAAAGGCGCCAAGCAGCUGAUUGAGACCGGGUUGGUGUUUGAAUCUGUGAUGGUGUACCAUCAUCACUUUGGGAGCCGCCAGGCUGAGCAUGGCAGGAUUGGAUGCCAGCAGCCAUCUGGCUUUGGAUGGGACUCCUGAGGGAGACACAGGCUGGUGCCAACCUUCAGAAAGCACUUCCAGCUUGUUUGAGAAUGACAUCUAUACUGUGGCCCUGUGUGAGAGGGGAAACUGUGUUCCUGCAGAGCUGUGGCACAUUCGACAAUACUACAUGUUCUACAUAUGUUCCCUGUCCACUGGGUCUGUCUUUAAGGGCAUUGCCGUCUCAAGCUAAUUGUAGUCCUGAAUGAAAAAAUAGCAAUUUAAUUUCCACCAAGAAGUUUAUAUUAUUCAAGA